rnacentral:rRNA from 1 species
GAUGAACGCUAGCGGCAGGCUUAAUACAUGCAAGUCGUGGGGCAGCAGGGUUGUAGCAAUACAACUGCUGGCGACCGGCAAACGGGUGCGUAACACGUACACAACCUUCCUACAAGUGGGGAAUAGCCCAGAGAAAUUUGGAUUAAUACCCCGUAACAUAGCGAUGUGGCAUCACAUUGCUAUUAUAGCUUCGGCGCUUGUUGAUGGGUGUGCGGCUGAUUAGAUAGUUGGCGGGGUAACGGCCCACCAAGUCUACGAUCAGUAGCUGAUGUGAGAGCAUGAUCAGCCACACGGGCACUGAGAAACGGGCCCGACUCCUACGGGAGGCAGCAGUAAGGAAUAUUGGACAAUGAACGCAAGUCUGAUCCAGCCAUGCCGCGUGAAGGAUUAAGGUCCUCUGGAUUGUAAACUUCUUUUAUAAGGGACGAAAAAAGGUCUUUCUAGAUCGUCUGACGGUACCUUAUGAAUAAGCACCGGCUAACUCCGUGCCAGCAGCCGCCGUAACAC